rnacentral:rRNA from 1 species
ACAUGCCUAUAACAUAGCGUUAAUGCAUCGGAUCCCAUUCGAACUCCGUAGUUAAGCGCACUUGGGCUAGAGUAGUACUGGGAUGGGUGACCACCCACGAAGUCCUAGUAUUUUACAUGCC